UCCUCCACCCACCUUCUCGGAGAUGUCCCUUUUGGGGUAGUGGGGACAUUAGGAGCAACCUCCUAGGGUUGUUGUGAGAAUUAAAUGAACUGCAGCAGCCUGAGGCAGGGCUGGGCAGAGACCUCAGCACAUGUUUGUUGAAAGGUUUGCAGGUGGAUCUAGUCCUCCCGUUCAUGGCUCAUGUGUCUCAACCAUUCUCUCGCAGACUCCUGCAGCCCCUAUGCCCAGGGCUCUCCUUGCGCCAGCCCCGGCUUCUCGAGGCCUGUCUACACUCGCUGCUUUCCUUCCUCACCUCCAAUUUCCCCUCCAACCCACUGCUUCCUGACUCGCUCUUCUCCAUCGAACGGCUCUCGCUCAGGUUUAAGGCUUGGCUUGCUGGCCCUGGAGAUCCCGUCGCCGUCUUCGUCGAACUCGAAAUCCUAGCCAUCGUCCUUCCCUGGCCUGUCGCGUCUUCCUGUGCCAUUUGCUGUUGUGCUCAGGUUCCACGAGCUGCCCAUCUCCACAGAAGAGCAGCUGGCAUUGCCCACCGGCCAUGCCGGCUGAAGAAAAGAAGACUGAGGACCCCAGGAUGCCCAGCGCGAGGACCCCAGGAAGCCCAGAGCGAGGACUCCACCCACGACGCCCAGCGCGAGGACUUCACGCACAACACGUUGCAACCCUCCUGGAUUAGGCCAAAGCCAUCAUCUGGAAUCCUGCGUGGGACCCUGGACACACGGACACAGACACCUGCCCCCAGGACCCUCCAACUGUAAAUC
ensembl:lincRNA Meg3 maternally expressed 3